UUUAUGUGGAGGUUCACGUCGAAUCAUGGCCGAAAGAAAAUAAUUCCUGGAACUUUGCAUGUUUUAUGGGACUUUCCUUAUGAGAGGUGGGUGAUUUGGCUUUUGACCAGCUGAUUUUGCACGUGCUUGACUUCGAUGUAAACAAACUCUCACGCCUUGCUGGAUGGGUGUGUAUUUUUUGGUAUGAAAAUGCUCAUUAAGAACUGUACUACAUGAUGUGAAAGUACAACUUCUGAAAAGUUUACUUUAAGGCAGCAGGGUCAGGUCAAAGAUGAGUAAUUUUGGUAAGAACAUAUAGGCAAAAUUAAUAGAGUGGUGCAACCUGCAGCGCAGCGUAAUACGCCCUCUGGUGAGAGAUUGGGCCGGAAUGGAGAUACUGACGGUGGGCGGUAAAUCUAGUACUGCCGACUCUCGACUGUCCCGGAUUGCGAUGUUUUAUAGAUUAUAUUAAAACCGGAGAACAGAAUAACUUCAUAUUUCUUGGAAACAAUCUCUAUGUCCAAAUUGAUUCAUACAAUUAAAAAAAAACCAACAAUAUUAAUUGGUAUAAAUCCUUAAACUGGAGAUGCAGCAUACUCAAAAGCGGUAAAUCGAGUACUAUGUUUUAAAUGCCAAAACCGAAAACGGAUAUAUACAGGUAUAUAUGAUCAAAGCAUGGUACAAUCAAAAAUUGUGAUCACAUGUUCAAUUAAUACUUUUGAUAUGUGCAAUUAUCACAGAAAUAUUAAAACCCAAUUUUACAAAAAUGAAUUCAUCUAUAUUAAAGUUAAAUAAUCUAUAAAACAUCGCAAUCCGGGACAGUCGGGAGUCGGCAGUACUAGAUUUACCGCCCACUGGUACUCACAUCGGGUACAAGUCAACUCGGCACCUGGUUAAUUCGGCACUUGAAAAAAAAAAGUUAUGAACUCGGCACCUAGUGCAUUCGGACUCGGCACCUAGUGAAUUCGGCACCAAAGUCUGGUCAACUCGGCACCUGUUUUGACAAGUGCAUUGCAUGCAAUACGAUUGUUCGCCCCAGACAAGAGGCCAUCCAGUGUGAUGGAUGUGAACUAUGGCAACACAGAGCAUGUAAUACUGGAAUCAGCCGUGACCAGUAUAAACGAAUAGGGAAACUGCAAGAAGACCUCCAGUGGGUUUGCGCCCGGUGCUUGGAAAAUCCUACUGAUACAGAAGAGUCUGUAGCUGCAGCUGAUGCCACAUUUUACGUGUCUAUAGCCUCACAUGGUUCAUCGGUUGCUGGUGAUGAAGAUGAACAGGAGGGUACAUAUACAUUUUACUACUUCCGGGUACAACAACAUGUGAAAUAUAUAAAGUCGUAACAGAGAAUCGGCGCUAAUAUGUAAUUUGGUGUAUUGUUAAGCGAUCGGCUGCAUACAUGAGACUGGGAAAACCCUGCCAUGUAGUUUAUUUAGGUUCCUAGUCGAUGCUACAGUAAGGAAGCGGUGGAUACAAAGAUGUAAAAACUACAAUUUUGUUGUGUAGUGAGCCACUUUAAGUCAAUAAAGCACCAAAUCCUCAACAUUUAAAAAGCUUCCCUUGAAGACUAUGAUGUUGUAAACUUGCAGUGAGAAAUAUACCUGCUUAAUUAAAGGAAACCAUCCUUGACAAUUGGGAACAUCAUAAUUGAAAGACCCUGGAAAGGGAUCAUGAACACUGUUGGGAGUGUCCAUUCAACUGAAAUAUAAAAGUCAGAAGAAUUGAAGAUUGCAAUGGAUGCAACAGAAGUGACCUAAUAUGACCAAAUUGAUAUGAAUAGCCAGUUUUUCGCUUGCAGUAAUGACAAGAGUCGCCACAAAGAAAAGACCUUAAUGUGUAUUACACCUAAUGCAGCUUAUUUCCAAUCUGUAUGCUGGGUACAAAUCUAAUUUGGCAAUUGUGAACCAUUGUGGCAUUUUAGAGAAGUUGCAAGUUGGUGAUAUAUUCCUGGCGGACAAAGGAUUUUGUAUAUUUGACAAACUUCCAAAUGACAUGACACUUAAUAUCCCAUUCUUUCUUAUAAAUAAAUCCCACUUCUCAAAAGAGGAUGCACAACUUUGCUAUAAAAUUUCCAGAUGCAGAAUCCAUGUUGGAUGGGAAAAUGAGAGAAUAAUUUUUUUUAAAAAAUUCCUUAGCCAUAUUCUAUCAUAGUAUAGAUAUUGAUCUGAAAAAUAUUUCAGAUUUGUGUGGAUCAUGUGAAUUUGCAGGUUCCCCUUUUGAAGGAGAUUGCAGAUAAAUCCUACAACUUAUUAGAUUAAUUGCAUGUAUAUAUAUACCUUAAAUCUGUACAUAUCUGCCACAUUGAAUUUUUAAAGUUAAAAGUAAUAAAUACCAUAUAUGCAAUAUAA